UUGAUUUAGGUCCCUGGGCGCGGUCGCCGGCUGGGGGUUUGUGGCGCCGACCCCCGGGCUCUUGCCAUGGCCUCGGGAGGCUGGAGCCGCGAGCAGCGGCCCCAGCGAGUGUGUCGGGGAAGCGGGUGCCUCCGGGUCCCGGCCCCGCGGGUACAGGCGGAGGCUGCCCGCUUCCCGCGUACACCGAGGACGGCCGGCCCGGCUCCGGAGAAAUGGCGCUUGAGAAAGGAGGGGAAGGGAAGGUUCCCGGACCCCUGGGCAGGGACCGGUCGCCGGGGACCCGCGGAGCCCUCCGGGGAUGGAGGAGGCGCGAGCUGGAAGCGGCGCGCGAGCCCGAGCGCGGGGCUAACACCGUGGGGCCCAGUGUCUCCUGGCUCGGGAAAAUACGUAUAUGAGAAAAAUCUUGGAUGCAACAAAAAGAACACCGUGGCCACCCGUGGUGUCCCAGGAGUUGCUCUGAGCUCCUCGCGUCAGGGCAGUUGUUACAGCAAAUAACUGCAGACGGGUCUGCUGGACGCGGUGGAGAGGGGCUGGCAGCUGCCCAGCACAGGCGCCUGGCCGCUGGGCAGCUCCCGCAAUACCAAAAUAAGCUCACGAGUUCCCCUGGAAGACUUGGGCCGCCGGGAGCUCGGGCUGGUGAUCUGCUCGGAGGAAACCUCCCUACUUUCCUUUUUUACUCUUCCUGCUGUCCAGAGCUAACAAAUGUUUUUAAUUUCAGAGGAACAUGGUGUGGGGAUCUGCAGACUCGCCUUCCACUGGGGAGAGGGCCAGCGAGGGGACAGAGGGGGAGGAAAGGAGAGGGGAUAAUAGACCUGAGGUCAGUGUUGAUGCUGGAGGGCCCAGGUCUCUGAAGUUCCUGCAGCUUUGCAGAUGAGCGGGCUGCAAGUGAGGCUAGGCCUGUGGACACCCAGUGGGGCCUGGAACAGUGCCAGGAGUGGCCUUGAACCCCACCUCGAUCCCUCUCCAGCAGGAUCUGGGGUCACUUGCAUGGGCCUGGCAGACACCACUCCAGAUUUGCCCUCUGGCCUGGGGAGCAGAUAACCCCCCGCCCCACAUAACCAGCUGCGCUCCUACACCUGGCAGGCCGGCUCACACAUCACCCUUUAACGCACACUAUAUUCACACACACACUUGUGCAGUCUUGAAUGUGUGCACACACAUCUGCCUGCACACACUCAUGUGCCCACAUGUGAAUCACUUGGAAGUGUACACACACCCAAACCCACAGCGCAGAUGGGCAGACAGGUGAGCCCCGUGCAGCAUGUCACACUCCCACAUGCACAAGACAUGCGUGCAGAGGCAUAUCACACACGCAGAAGCACUCCCGAGAACCGCCUUCUCCCUUCCAGCCUAGGGGCCCCUGUUCCCCCACAACCGGGCCCAGCCCUGGAGCCCCCUCCAGCACUCCUCUCCCACCCCCACGCUCCCAAAGAGCAGCAGAUGUAGGUCUCCCGGCUCCCAAACCUCUGAGAUGCUGCUCUGUCUGAAAUCAUCAUAUAAAUAAUCAUUUUUUAAUACAAGGGGGUGGGGGUGUCAGGCAAGUUCCAUGAAAUUGUGAAUUAGCCGCUGCUCCAAAUAAAUGCCUCCUUCGGCCCGAGAGCAGCCGGCUCUCGCCCGCUGCGCCCCCAGUAAUCGUGUGUUGGGUAUCUCUCCAUUGUUCCCUGGGCCAUUAGUCAAAGGGCAAAUUAGAAACAAUUUCUUGACGACAAAAAUUGACUCUUAAUUCUUCCCACCAGAGGCGCAGGGGGACAAGUCCAGAGGCCAGGCCUGAGGCUGGGGCUGGCGGCAGGAGGGGUAGGCGGGGUAGAGGUGGGGGAUCUAAGAUGGUUCACAGCACAGAGACCUCCCUCAACUGGAGGGCAGCAGCAGCUCACCCCCACCCCAGAAUCAGUGUUCCAGAGGACAGUUGGGGGCAGGGGGUUAGGAACAAUCCCACUCCCUCCCGGAAGAGGUCCUGACCCCCACCCCACCCAUCUGCCUGUAUUGGCCCCUCUGCUAUCGACUGGGGCGAGUUCUUUUCAUGAGGGCCUUGCCUGGUGCCUGGAGGGAACAGGGUGUGGGGGAAAGGUCUGUGUGUUCCCCCCUCACCUCCCCUGCUCAGCGGUGUGGCCUCUGGCUCUGGAGAGGAUCGGGAAGCCCCAGGGUCCGUGCCUUGGAGUGGGGGGACAGCCUUUUCUCUGCCACAGCUUCUGCCUUUGGGGGCUUACCCUUCCUAGGAGCAGAACUGUUGUGGAGGGGAAGAGGACGGCGAAGGUUCCGAAGGGAAGGGGGCUGCCCCCACUGAAAACGAAGCUUCCAGUCACAGCCCCUUCAUUAUUUAUCAGGACCCAGGGGAUGAGGUGGCAGGGGAGGGGGCUGCAUGGAGGGAGUGCCCGCACCCUCGUCCCCAGCGCCUGCCCCCUCCCGACCAGGCCUGGGCUGAGGCCCAGGGUAAGGGGGCUGAGGCAGGCCACAGAGGAGCAAGACUUGUCAGGGGCCAGACCUGGGUAGGAGGAUUGUCCUCCAGGCACACACGGCCCCCAGCCUGUCGAACUGGGCUCUCCCAGAAGGUCCCCGGCUCCAGCCCAAGCAGGGAGCCAGGUUGGGGGUGUGGGAAGGCAGAGGUCCCAGGGAUCCUGGGGGAGGCUCAGGUUGUACCUGCAGGCCACAGUCUCCUCGACAGACCUCGGACGAGGUUGUAAGUGUUUUAAAGAAACCAGAGCAGCAGAGAAGAGAGACUCAGAAGCCCGUGGCACGGCUUUCUGGGUGUCCCCUCCAGCGAGGGGGUCUCCAUUGCUGCAGUUGCCGGUUUUGUCCAACCAGGUCAGGAGGCUGCCCGGCCCCCUCCCCACUCUCAAAGUUGCUUGUUAAACACAGAGUCGUAAUUUGUGGCUAAAUAUAACUAGUGUGUUCUCACGGAGAGUAUAAUUCAGGGUGCUCGUUGUAUGAGGUUAUCAACGAGACCCAUCUGGGUUACAUUACAGUGAUUUUCAUAAAGGGCAGAAGCGCCCCUUUGCCUGGUUUCCCCUGCCUUUUUAUUAGUGACAGUGUUAUUGUUGCAAUUAUUAGAGGGGAUCAAGGAAGGUGGGAGUUGCCAGGGACCCCCAGGCUGAGGAGGGAGCCUCCCAGCCCCCCUCCACUCACCAUUGUCCUGCUGCCCCUCCAGCCUCCUGGUCACUGUCACCUCUGCGGCUGGAGGGCUGGAGAAAGGCCCAGGAGCCCAGGGAACCUCCACCAUGCCAGGCUGCCUUCCCUAAAGGCCGGCUCCUUCCCCACAGGCAGCCAGUCUGGGGGUGGACCUGGAGGGGCAGGGUUCUCUGGGAAUCUCUGGCCAAGGGAUGCGCUUUGGGGAUCCGCUGGAAUAAAGAGUAAUCAGUUUUCCUCGCAGGAGGUUGACCCCAAACAGCCCUCCGUCUUCCUGCCCAUGAGGAUGAGGACAGGAAGCCAGACCCAGGAGAGAAAGCCCAGAUCAGACAGAUGGGGGUUGGGAGGGCCUAGUGGCUGAAACUGCCCUGCUUGGGGACAAUGCUCAGGCAGGACCAAUCCAAAUGAGGGCACUGCUUAUGUGGUCCUUCCGGGAGCACCCUCCAAGGCAGAGCCUGGCUUCGGGCCCUCCCUGCAAGGACACCUGCCUCCACUCCCUGCCAGACCAGGCC
rnacentral:lncRNA from 1 species